rfam:Ictidomys tridecemlineatus contig024736, whole genome shotgun sequence.
GGGGUUGUGGCUCAGUGGCAGAGCACUUGUCUUGUGCAUGUGAGGCACUGGGUUCGAUCCUCAGCACCA